rnacentral:rRNA from 1 species
CCCGGCGACCGGCGCACGGGUGAGUAACGCGUAUGCAACCUGCCCGUUUCAGCGGGAUAACCCGGAGAAAUCCGGCCUAAUACCGCAUGUGGCCGAGGGGAGGCAUCUUCUUUCGGCCAAAGGAGGCGACUCCGGAGACGGAUGGGCAUGCGUGACAUUAGCUAGUUGGCGGGGUAACGGCCCACCAAGGCGACGAUGUCUAGGGGUUCUGAGAGGAAGGUCCCCCACACUGGUACUGAGACACGGACCAGACUCCUACGGAAGGCAGCAG